GUUUUCAAGGGGCUCAGCAUGGGUUCUGGAGAUAAGACUUACAUGCAUGUCAAUGUGUUAGCAGUCCUUGCAGGGUUGGAGUGUCUCACUCAACCAAGAAUAAAAAUAGGAGAUUUUACUACAAAAUAUAUUAUGCAUAAUCUGCUUAUUACUAAUUUUGUCAUUUCAGGAUGAUCAGUAUGAUUUUUUUUGCAUGGUAGAUCUGAAAUAUUAACUUGGUAGGAUGGAGUCGAGACUAGGGCUCAUGGACAAGAAGAUUGGAUGGCUGAUUCUAUCAAUGUUAUUGGAGAUAAUUUUCACUUUUCUUUUGAUGUUAAUAUUAGUGCGGCUGUAAUCAUUUGAUUAUUGAGGUCAA
rnacentral:lncRNA from 1 species